rnacentral:rRNA from 1 species
UACAGAGGUCCCGAGCGUUGUUCGGAUUCAUUGGGCGUAAAGGGUGCGUAGGCGGCUUAUUAAGUCAGUGGUGAAAGCUCCAUGCUUAACGUGGAAAUUGCCAUUGAUACUGAUGAGCUUGAGUAUAUUUGAAGUGGGCGGAAUGUGUCGUGUAGCGGUGAAACGCUUAGAUAUGACACAGAACACCGAUUGCGUAGGCAGCUCACUAAACUAUAACUGACGCUGAGGCACGAAAGCAUGGGGAUCAAACAGG